CAUGCAAGUCGAACGGAAUUUACAUGAAGCCUAGCGAUUGUAAAUUUAGUGGCGGACGGGUGAGUAACGCGUGGGUAACCUGCCUUGUACUGGGGGACAACAGUUGGAAACGACUGCUAAUACCGCAUAAGCGCACAGCUUCGCAUGAAGCAGUGUGAAAAACUCCGGUGGUACAAGAUGGACCCGCGUCUGAUUAGCUGGUUGGUGAGGUAACGGCCCACCAAGGCGACGAUCAGUAGCCGGCCUGAGAGGGUGAACGGCCACAUUGGGACUGAGACACGGCCCAAACUCCUACGGGAGGCAGCAGUGGGGAAUAUUGCACAAUGGGGGAAACCCUGAUGCAGCAACGCCGCGUGAGUGAAGAAGUAUUUCGGUAUGUAAAGCUCUAUCAGCAGGAAAGAAAAUGACGGUACCUGACUAAGAAGCCCCGGCUAACUACGUGCCAGCAGCCGCGGUAAUACGUAGGGGGCAAGCGUUAUCCGGAUUUACUGGGUGUAAAGGGAGCGUAGACGGUUUUGCAAGUCUGAAGUGAAAGCCCGGGGCUUAACCCC
rnacentral:rRNA from 1 species